GGGGAAGCCGGUGCAAUUCCGGCGCUGACCCGCAACCGUGAGCCGCCCGGCGGGCGGUGAGCCGGACUGCCC
rnacentral:ncRNA from 2 species